rnacentral:rRNA from 1 species
GCAUAACGCGAAGAACCUUACCAAGGCUUGACAUACACCAGAACACCCUGGAAACAGGGGACUCUUUGGACACUGGUGAACAGGUGGUGCAUGGUUGUCGUCAGCUCGUGUCGUGAGAUGUUGGGUUAAGUCCCGCAACGAGCGCAACCCUCGUUCUAUGUUGCCAGCACGUUAUGGUGGGAACUCAUGGGAUACUGCCGGGGUCAACUCGGAGGAAGGUGGGGAUGACGUCAAAUCAUCAUGCCCCUUAUGUCUUGGGCUUCACGCAUGCUACAAUGGCCGGUACAAAGGGUUGCAAUACCGUGAGGUGGAGCGAAUCCCAAAAAGCUGGUCCCAGUUCGGAUUGAGGUCUGCAACUCGACCUCAUGAAGUCGGAGUCGCUAGUAAUCGCAGAUCAGCAACGCUGCGGUGAAUACGUUCCCGGGUCUUGUACACACCG